GGUGCGUGUCUAGAUAAGAUCUAUCGACCUUGAUAGAGAGGAGUAGUCCUAUGAGAUUUGAGAGGCUAAAUCCAAGAGUUUGUGGCCACAGUAGUGUGAUUGAUGGAAAAGAAUUUUCUUAGAAGUCAUAACUGGACUUGGGCUAAUCAAUCUAUCGUAUGACUGAUGUUGAGGUUUGAUGAUUUAUUCAUUACCUGCUAUCUAGUCGGGACUUACGAUAGAGGAACUGAAUCAUACUUUAACUACAC
rnacentral:lncRNA from 1 species